rnacentral:lncRNA from 1 species
CGCUCACUUGCCGGGAUGCACAGGCACGCCUCUGGCCAGGCCGGGCUGCGGGGGUUUGUGGCCUGGAGAAUCAAAGAGCCGCCCUCAGCUCGGAGAACACUUCCUCUAGAAGGCUCUGGUAACAGCACACCGGGUCUGAGGAGAAAGAGCCUCUGUGGGCCACGGUGGGUCUUUGCCCACAGAGGCUCACACACCACCCCUCCUGUUCCAACACCACCCCCUGCCCGGCCCCAGUUCUCCUACCAGCCCAGGGGACUCAGGUGGGCCAGACCUUUUCACACUGCCCCUCCCACACACACCACAGCAAGAGGUCAGUGGCAACCCCAUCCCUUCAUUCACUGAGGCCGAAACCUUGGAUAGCCGUCCUGGAGUUUUUCAGACCCAUGUCCAAACCACUGGAGCAUCUUGUCAGCAGGAUUCCAACUUCUUCCAGAGCCCACCCGCCUCUCACCACCUCUCUGUCAUUUCCCACCUGGAUGAUUACAACAGUCCCUGUCGAGGCCCUGGCCCCACCACGCCACCAGUGGGGAGAAUGCUUCCUCUAGAAGGCUCUGGUGGAUUUGGGUGAUGAGGGGGAGAGGGGUAGUCCCGGGCCAAGCCACACCAGUGACCCCACGUGUGUUCAGAACCCUCCUGUCUACAUUUGAUUUCAUCUUGGCUACUCUUGUCAAGACAUGCAGUUUGUUAGUCUUGAGCAAGUAAGAGUCCUUAUUUGUAUGCCCUCACAUGUUAUCACAAAUCCCCCAGAUUCUUUUUCAGAUCUCAUGCCCUAAUUUGGGGUUUAUGAAAUCUACCAUGCUGAUAGGGAUUCCUGUCUGUCAUGGGGACUUUGAGCCAUGACUCAGAACAAGACACUUAUCAAUCUGGGGCCUCUCCGAAGAUGCUGAGACCAGGGCCAGUCUCAGCUGCAACGCCCUGCUUGGAAGCCACUAUGGGAUGAUUCUGCAACAGAUAUCAUGAUGCAACAGAUGCCCAUGAAUGACAUGGGAAAGCUGGGCCCCAUCGCCCAGGGGGACACUCCUGCU